AGUCAUAAUCUGUAUGGCUGAAAAUAGGAAUCCGAAAGUUUUUGACAAAAACGAUGGGUUGGGGCACAUAUUUAAUACUCACUCACGCGAGCUAUUCUUAUCAUGUAGUUCAGUACAACCUGUUGUAUGAUGAGGUCGUCAGCAAGUAUACCGGCUUCCCCACCAGGCUUGGCUAAUGAGGAGGGUAGCUAGAAACUUAACAUAAACAAUACUCGAUAAUCGGCGGAUGGAAACAGAGUAUUGCUAUUUUCACUUAUUCCAUGGUGCCAUGAUGUCCUAUAAAAGUCAAAGAAACAAUGUGGUUACAAGAGCAGGCAAAGAAAAAUUUAAACUAGGCAACCUGAAUAUCACACAUAACUGUUUAUAUACGUGAUUUGACUUGAAACAACAACAGUCAAGCUUUGUCUUUCCUCAAGCAAACUACUGAAAACAUGCAAUGUUUUGAUGUUUAUUGCAAAGCAGUCUGCCCAGAUAUUAUUAUCAACCAUUUAUCUAAUAUUUUUAAUAGAAGCAACUUUAAGAAGGUCAGUUCAUAACUACAGAUACUUAAAGCAAGAACACAAGAAACAGAAGAUCAAAUCAAUUAUAAUUCAUGGAAUGGAGAUAAGUGAAGCAUUAUCAGAUGUCUGAUACCAGCCCAUUGAUCCUGUAGGAAAAAGAAAGGUCAACAACACCUUGGUAAUAAGUUCUUGGCAUUCUAUAACAGUUAAUUGAAGACAGGGAAAAAGUGGCAGUUAAAAGACUGAAUGUCAGGUGAGUAGACGUAGCAAGGUAAAUGUUACCGACUACCCACUCUGUCCUCCACACCAGCACUUUUCCAUAUAAUUAAUGAUAAAUAAUUAAUGGUUCCCACAUUGGGUUGUCUGACUUUCUUUUACAACAAAUGGUACUAAAGUUAUAAAACAAAACUUUGGAAUUAGUUCUACCGAAUGAUGUGAUGGAAGAAUUUAAAGAAAGUUAGCUUCUUGUGGAGUAUCUGAAAAGCAUAUAUGAAGAGGUAGAGGAGGUGGACUUGAUAUCUUUGUAGGGGUGGAGCAAAGAGUGCUUGCAACAGAGGUGAAGCAAAAAAAAAAAAAAGAGAGAUAUGACAGAGAAAGAGAGUGUCUACAAUAGGGUGGGACAAGGAAGGUGUGUGUGUGGAGAGGUGUAAGUGAAAAAGAGAGGAAGAGAUGAUGUCUGUCUUGGAGGUGUAGCAAGGAAGAUGUGUUUGCAAAAGGGGUGGAGCAAGCAAGAUGUGUGGGAGAGAAAAGAAGUGAGAGAGAGAGAGAGAGAGAGAGAGAAAAAGAUGGAAGAAAUAUUUGAACAGUGGAAAUAAAAUAAGAAGCAGUGUUAUGGAUUAGUCAGAAGAGGAAGUCUUUUGGAAACUGGUGUGAAGAAAGGAUGCAGAAACU